AGUAUAUGGGUCAGCGAGGCCUUCUUAUUUGCAGAUCCUUGACGCUGUUCACCAUGCUGGGAUUCGACUGGCCAUGGGUGCUUAUCGGACCAGUCCCAUACCCAGCCUCGGUGAGCAGGCGAGCUGGGGGCUGCCGCCGGAUGACUGAUGACACAGAGGACACAGUAUCAAAAGAUGACGGCGAUGUAGCUCUUGAAGAACAUGUACCUCCCACAUAUGUCAAGCACAUGUAAUCAAAUGUUCUUUUUAAAGCGGCCUUUGGGGAGUAUGAACAGCAAACUCCGAGCAUCGAAACAUUGGUUGCAUAACCUAGCUGUGAAAUUGUAUUUCUGGACAAUAAUAAUUGCGACGAAUUUGUUAAAAAAGAAACAGAAGAGCUCGAAUUAAUUCGAUUUUGGAAAUAAAUAUUUUUAACAACUCUUUAAUAUCCAUUUUAAUUCGCUUAAAAUGCCAAUAAAACAUAACUUAAAUGAAA